rnacentral:rRNA from 1 species
GUGUCGUGAGAUGUUGGGUUAAGUCCCGCAACGAGCGCAACCCUUGCCCCGUGUUGCUAACAGGUCAAGCUGAGGACUCUCGGGGGACUGCCGGCGUCAAGCCGGAGGAAGGUGGGGACGACGUCAAGUCAUCAUGGCCCUUACGCCUAGGGCGACACACGUGCUACAAUGGCCGACACAGAGGGYUGCGAACUCGCAAGAGGGAGCGAAUCCCCCAAAGUCGGUCCAAGUUCGGAUCGUGGUCUGCAACUCGACCACGUGAAGCCGGAAUCGCUAGUAAUCGCGGAUCAGCCACGCCGCGGUGAAUACGUUCCCGGGCCUUGUACACACCGCCCG